GGCAGAAUCAUCUUAUAGCUGAAGAACUAAAGAUACCAUUCCAUGGCUAGCCAGGAGCUCUGGACUUGGUGAGCUGCUUGGGCAACAUGGGUCCAAGCCAAGGGAAAUGCUCUUUGGACUGGAAAGGGCCAAAUAAAGAAUGUGGACAGAAAUUUGAAAGUCAAGAUAAACGAAGAAGUGGUAAGAGGAAAACCAGCUGCCUUCAAUGAAUUCAAGUCGUCAAGCCUGGAUGAGACACACGCUAAGGAGCUAAGAGAGGCAGCAGAUGGAAUUGCUGAGCAGUUAAUGAUCCUGGAACUGUCCUUGAGAAGAAAAUGAGUGAAAAUAAGUUAAAAAAAAAUAGAAGAUGGAAUCUGCAGUCUAGAAAAUGAUCUUCAGGCUCUUCAUCGAGAAAGAGAGCUAGAGCCUCUGUUUUUAUACUUGAAAGCCUGCCAGCCCAGGAGCCCUUAAAAGCCAACAAAGAAUAAGGAUCUGUGUUUCCCGCAUAACAGUA